rnacentral:rRNA from 1 species
AGAGUUUGAUCCUGGCUCAGGAUGAACGCUAGCGGCAGGCCUAAUACAUGCAAGUCGAGGGGUAACAGAAAGUGCUUGCACUUUGCUGACGACCGGCGCACGGGUGAGUAACGCGUAUACAAUCUACCUCAUACUAGAGGAUAGCCUUAAGAAAUUUGGAUUAAUACUCUAUAGUAUCAUUUAAAGACAUCUUUUUAUGAUUAAAGGUUACGGUAUGAGAUGAGUAUGCGUUCUAUUAGCUUGUAGGUGUGGUAACGGCACACCUAGGCUGCGACGUAUAGGGGCCCUGAGAGGGGGAUCCCCCACACUGGUACUGAGACACGGACCAGACUCCUACGGGAGGCAGCAGUGAGGAAUAUUGGGCAAUGGAGGCAACUCUGACCCAGCCAUGCCGCGUGCAGGAAGACUGCCCUAUGGGUUGUAAACUGCUUUUAUACAGGAAGAAACAGUUCCUCGUGAGGGAGCUUGACGGUACUGUAAGAAUAAGGAUCGGCUAACUCCGUGCCAGCAGCCGCGGUAAUACGGAGGAUCCAAGCGUUAUCCGGAAUCAUUGGGUUUAAAGGGUCCGUAGGUGGAUAAUUAAGUCAGAGGUGAAAUCCUGCAGCUCAACUGUAGAAUUGCCUUUGAAACUGGUUAUCUUGAGUUAUUAUGAAGUAGUUAGAAUAUGUAGUGUAGCGGUGAAAUGCAUAGAUAUUGCAUACAAUACCAAUUGCGAAGGCAGAUUACUAAUAAUAUACUGACACUGAUGGACGAAAGCGUGGGGAUCGAACAGGAUUAGAUACCCUGGUAGUCCACGCCGUAAACGAUGGUCACUAGCUGUUUGGACUUCGGUCUGAGUGGCUAAGCGAAAGUGAUAAGUGACCCACCUGGGGAGUACGUUCGCAAGAAUGAAACUCAAAGGAAUUGACGGGGGCCCGCACAAGCGGUGGAGCAUGUGGUUUAAUUCGAUGAUACGCGAGGAACCUUACCAGGGCUUAAAUGUAAGUUGCAUGAUUUAGAGAUAGAGCUUUCUUCGGACUACUUACAAGGUGCUGCAUGGUUGUCGUCAGCUCGUGCCGUGAGGUGUCAGGUUAAGUCCUAUAACGAGCGCAACCGCUGUUUUUAGUUGCCAGCGAGUCAUGUCGGGAACUCUAACAAGACUGCCGGUGCAAACCGUGAGGAAGGUGGGGAUGGCGUCAAAUCAUCACGGCCCUUACGUCCUGGGCUACACACGUGCUACAAUGGUAGGUACAGAGAGCAGCCACUGCGUGACGUGGAGCCAAUCCCAAAAAACUUCCCCAAGUUCGGAUUGCAGUCUGAAACUCGACUCCAUGAAGGUGGAAUCGCUAGUAAUCGCGCAUCAGCAUGGCGCGGUGAAUACGUUCCCGGGUCUUGUACACACCGCCCGUCACGCCAUGGAAGCCGGUAGCACCCAAUGUCAGUGUCCUAACCUUCGGGGAGGAGCUGCUUAAGGUGAGAUUGGUAACUGGGGCGAAGUCGUAACAAGGUAACC